rnacentral:rRNA from 1 species
UACGUAGGGGGCAAGCGUUGUCCGGAUUUAUUGGGCGUAAAGAGCGUGUAGGCGGCCAGAAAGGUCAGCUGUGAAAACUCGAGGCUCAACCUCGAGACGUCGGUUGAAACCGUCUGGCUAGAGUCCGGAAGAGGAGAGUGGAAUUCCCGGUGUAGCGGUGAAAUGCGCAGAUAUCGGGAAGAACACCCGUGGCGAAGGCGGCUCUCUGGGACGGUACUGACGCUGAGACGCGAAAGCGUGGGGAGCGAACAGG